UACAGAGGGUGCAAGCGUUGUUCGGAAUUAUUGGGCGUAAAGCGCGUGUAGGCGGCUUUGCAAGUCGGGUGUGAAAGCCCUCAGCUUAACUGAGGAAGUGCGCCCGAAACUGCUUGGCUUGAGUACCGGAGAGGAUGGUGGAAUUCCCGAAGUAGAGGUGAAAUUCGUAGAUAUCGGGAGGAACACCGGUGGCGAAGGCGACCAUCUGGACGGAUACUGACGCUGAGACGCGAAAGCCAGGGGAGCGAACGGG
rnacentral:rRNA from 1 species